UGCACCCAAGGCAGUUAAAACAGAUUUUGGUUUCUGUUAUCGUAAUAUAAUUUAACAGUGGCGAGAUUCAUUAUUGAUACAAAAUGUCGCUUUUAAUGACUGUGAUGUUUAUGUUGUUUUAUGUUUACCUCUUUGCCAAAGGUUCGGAAACACAAAGACCGACUCUGACUGCGACUGGGAUAAGUAAGGAUCAAACCAUCACACUGACUUGUAACAUUCACGAGGGAACGGCUCGCUCAGUUGGCUGGUACAGGAACCAAGGUCGAAAGGUCAUCUCUAUUGGUUAUGUCAACGACAGCUGUGAAACAAGUCCUCCUGAGCUGCCGUUUUCAGCGAAGUGUCUGUGUUUGAAUAUAACCGUGUAUACUUGUACGCUGACCGGUAUGUUAAAUAUACAAUAUAUAUUUUGACAAAGGGGAUUUAUUUAAACAAAAAGACUUGUUUAACAUGAAAAUAAAUUGGGAUACUAGUAUAUUUCAAAAUCCUUUUUUCUGAAACCACUACGCCGAGACUCUUGUUAUGUUGUAUGUAGCACCAUAGAGUAGUUGUUUAACAAAUAAAUUUAAAUCGUGGCCAUGGGGUUAAUGCUGGCCCCUUACAGGGGAUCACAUGAUUUCAACAUAAUUGUACAAGAGCAAUAUUCUUGUCUCAAACCACAAGUUUCCGACCGUAAUGGUUGAUAUUUGGUAUGAAGGAUCGUUCGAUGGUCCCAUACCACGUUUGUUCAAAUUAUGCCCCUUGGGUAAAAGCUUGCCAAACCUUGGGGUUCAUAAGUUUAUAGUCGACUUUAUAUGGGUUUCUUUGAAAAUAGUCUUAUCUGACACCACUAAGCCAAGACCCUUAACAUAUUGUAGGAAGCAUCAUAUAUUGUUCUCUACCAUGUUCGUUCACAUUACGUCCGUGUGUUCAGCAAAUGCCCCACCCCGUAACUCGUUAUUGCCAUACAUACUUAUAACAAAAAAACUUUGAAAAUAUUCUUGUUUCAAACCGCAUAGCGCAGGCCUAUGAUAGUUCUGAUGUAAAGGUACAUGAUGAUCCUCUAUCAAGGUGUGCCCCUUGAUUUAAAGCUAGCCCAAACGCUUUUUGACCUACCUUCUAAUUUUCGAAGCUACAACAGUGAAAUUUAAACCAUGUGCACAGUUUUGAAAACAAAUAUCAAAGUUGUGCUUUAGUGACCAUGACAUUGAAUCUUUGACCUACUUUUUUUUUGUUUUUGAAGCUACAGCAAUGCAAAGUGGACCAUAAUUACAGUUCUGAAAACAAAUAUCAAUUUGGGGCUUGGGUGAUCUUGAUUGCGACCGUUUGACUUUCUGUCAUUUUUCUGAAGCUACAGCAAUGAAAGUUGUAUAAUACAUACUGUUUUAAAAACAAAUAUCAAUGUUUGGCUAUUGCAAUGAAAUUUGAGCCAUGUGUACACUUUAGCAAACAAAAAUCAAUAUUGAUCUUUUGACCUGUUUUCUUAUUUUCCAAAAUUCGGUCCAUGCGUACAGCUUUGAAAACACACAUCAAGGUAAGAUAAUUGUUGAGAAGCACCAAGAUUUUAAAUUAUUCUGGUUCGAAACCCCGCCCCGAGCAUGAUAUGUGUUAGAUAUAGAUAUAGAACUAAAACUACGAUUAUUCUUGUAUGCAACAGAAAUGCCUACAUCUGAGAUAUUUGGUGUAAACAAUUAUCUGGAGUUAGCAAUAAAUCAUUCACCGAGGGAGCGAUUUAGUGCCAUCAACACCAUUUUGUUUAUUUCAACGGAUCACGAUGUUUUGUAUACUAUGUUGAAAUGAUUAAAGGUAAGGCAUCUUGAGGUUUAGUUCAUACACUACUAGAUCCCCAGACCCUUGAGUCCGGUUCGGUUGACCGCUCCAAUAAGAUAACGUUAACUUUUAUUAUUUAAAUUGUUUGUCUUUUUAUUCAUGUGUUGUGUGUAAUUUGUCUGUCUGUCUGUCAUGUUUUGUCUUUCAUGUAAUUUAUGUCAUGUGCUGUCUGCCAUUUUUUCUGUCAUGUGUUGUUUUUUACCGUUUUGCGUCACUCGUUUAGUGCAUGUUACGCAUGUUAUGCCUCUGAACAGGUUAUUUAUUAUAGUAUAUUACUACAAGGCUUAUUAUUAAAUGAUCUAUAAAUAAACAGUCAAUAAUUGGAUAAAGAGUAAUUGUCAAAGAAAGAAUUCAAUGCAAUAUAGACCUGUAUAUUUAUAGACCGUAUAUUAUUUGAUGGCAUAAUACGCGGCAAAACUCACUUAAUAAAACGUCAUAUUGACAUCUCCAUUUAUAUACCAGAAACAGUUUAUCAAAUGACAAAAUAAUAGAUCAUACAGAAUCAUAUAACAAAGCAAGUUUCUCUUUAUAAGCCGUGAACUAUGCAGUUUAUAUUGAAUGCAAAUUCAAUAUUAAUUGAAUUUGCUAUGAUACAGCUCAAGUAAAGGUGUAAUACGGACGGACAAAGAACUUAACUGAAAAUCUUACCAUAUUUGUUCGUACGUUGAUUGAUAUGAUGAUG